rnacentral:rRNA from 1 species
UCCUAUCGCUGCAUUACCAUGCAGUCGUAACAGGUAGCCAAGUCGGGAGGGGAUUAGUGGCGAACGGGUGAGUAACACGUGGGCAAUCUGCCCUUCACUCUGGGACAAGCCCUGGAAACGGGGUCUAAUACCGGAUAACACUGCGGAUCGCAUGGUCUGCGGUUGAAAGCUCCGGCGGUGAAGGAUGAGCCCGCGGCCUAUCAGCUAGUUGGUGGGGUAAUGGCCUACCAAGGCGACGACGGGUAGCCGGCCUGAGAGGGCGACCGGCCACACUGGGACUGAGACACGGCCCAGACUCCUACGGGAGGCAGCAGUGGGGAAUAUUGCACAAUGGGCGAAAGCCUGAUGCAGCGACGCCGCGUGAGGGAUGACGGCCUUCGGGUUGUAAACCUCUUUCAGCAGGGAAGAAGCGAAAGUGACGGUACCUGCAGAAGAAGCGCCGGCUAACUACGUGCCAGCAGCCGCGGUAAUACGUAGGGCGCAAGCGUUGUCCGGAAUUAUUGGGCGUAAAGAGCUCGUAGGCGGCUUGUCACGUCGGAUGUGAAAGCCCGGGGCUUAACCCCGGGUCUGCAUUCGAUACGGGCAGGCUAGAGUGUGGUAGGGGAGAUCGGAAUUCCUGGUGUAGCGGUGAAAUGCGCAGAUAUCAGGAGGAACACCGGUGGCGAAGGCGGAUCUCUGGGCCAUUACUGACGCUGAGGAGCGAAAGCGUGGGGAGCGAACAGGAUUAGAUACCCUGGUAGUCCACGCCGUAAACGUUGGGAACUAGGUGUUGGCGACAUUCCACGUCGUCGGUGCCGCAGCUAACGCAUUAAGUUCCCCGCCUGGGGAGUACGGCCGCAAGGCUAAAACUCAAAGGAAUUGACGGGGGCCCGCACAAGCAGCGGAGCAUGUGGCUUAAUUCGACGCAACGCGAAGAACCUUACCAAGGCUUGACAUCGCCCGGAAAGCAUCAGAGAUGGUGCCCCCCUUGUGGUCGGGUGACAGUGGUGCAUGGCUGUCGUCAGCUCGUGUCGUGAGAUGUUGGGUUAAGUCCCGCAACGAGCGCAACCCUUGUUCUGUGUUGCCAGCAUGCCCUUCGGGGUGAUGGGGACUCACAGGAGACUGCCGGGGUCAACUCGGAGGAAGGUGGGGACGACGUCAAGUCAUCAUGCCCCUUAUGUCUUGGGCUGCACACGUGCUACAAUGGCCGGUACAAAGAGCUGCGAAGCCGCGAGGCGGAGCGAAUCUCAAAAAGCCGGUCUCAGUUCGGAUUGGGGUCUGCAACUCGACCCCAUGAAGUCGGAGUUGCUAGUAAUCGCAGAUCAGCAUUGCUGCGGUGAAUACGUUCCCGGGCCUUGUACACACCGCCCGUCACGUCACGAAAGUCGGUAACACCCGAAGCCGGUGUUAAGUCCCGCA